rnacentral:rRNA from 1 species
UACGUAGGGGGCAAGCGUUGUCCGGAUUCAUUGGGCGUAAAGAGCGUGUAGGCGGCCAGGUAGGUCGGUUGUGAAAACUGGAGGCUCAACCUUCAGAGGUCGACCGAAACCAUCUGGCUAGAGGUCCGGAGAGGAGAGUGGAAUUCCUGGUGUAGCGGUGAAAUGCGCAGAUAUCAGGAAGAACACCCGUGGCGAAGGCGGCUCUCUGGGACGGUACUGACGCUGAGACGCGAAAGCGUGGGGAGCGAACAGG